ACACUACGGGAGGCAGCAGUGGGGAAUAUUGGACAAUGGGCGCAAGCCUGAUCCAGCCAUGCCGCGUGAGUGAUGAAGGCCCUAGGGUUGUAAAGCUCUUUCACCGGUGAAGAUAAUGACGGUAACCGGAGAAGAAGCCCCGGCUAACUUCGUGCCAGCAGCCGCGGUAAUACGAAGGGGGCUAGCGUUGUUCGGAUUUACUGGGCGUAAAGCGCACGUAGGCGGACUAUUAAGUCAGGGGUGAAAUCCCGGGGCUCAACCCCGGAACUGCCUUUGAUACUGGUAGUCUUGAGUUCGAGAGAGGUGAGUGGAAUUCCGAGUGUAGAGGUGAAAUUCGUAGAUAUUCGGAGGAACACCAGUGGCGAAGGCGGCUCACUGGCUCGAUACUGACGCUGAGGUGCGAAAGCGUGGGGAGCAAACAGGAUUAGAAACCCCAGUAGUCCCAUGA
rnacentral:rRNA from 1 species